AAGAUUAAGCCAUGCAUGUCUAAGUAUAAGCAAUUAUACAGCGAAACUGCGAAUGGCUCAUUAUAUAAGUUAUCGUUUAUUUGAUAGUGCCUUACUACUUGGAUAACCGUGGUAAUUCUAGAGCUAAUACAUGCUACAAGCCCUGACUUCGGAAGGGGCGUAUUUAUUAGAUUAAAAGCCAAUGCCCUCUGGGCUCCUUGGUGAAUCAUGAUAACUUCACGAAUCGCACGGCCUUGCGCCGGCGAUGGCUCAUUCAAAUUUCUUCCCUAUCAACUUUCGAUGUUUGGGUAGUGGCCAAACAUGGUUGCAACGGGUAACGGAGGGUUAGGGCUCGACCCCGGAGAAGGAGCCUGAGACACGGCUACUACAUCCAAGGAAGGCAGCAGGCGCGCAAAUUACCCAAUCCCGAUUCGGGGAGGUAGUGACAAUAAAUACUGAUACAGGGCUCUUUCGGGUCUUGUAAUCGGAAUGAGUACAAUUUAAAUCCCUUAACGAGGAACAAUUGGAGGGCAAGUCUGGUGCCAGCAGCCGCGGUAAUUCCAGCUCCAAUAGCGUAUAUUAAAGUUGUUGUGGUUAAAAAGCUCGUAGUUGAACCUUGGGCCUGGCUGGCCGGUCCGCCUCACCGCGUGUACUGGUCCGGCCGGGCCUUUCCCUCUGUGGAACCUCAUGCCCUUCACUGGGUGUGCUGGGGAAACAGGACUUUUACUUUGAAAAAAUUAGAGUGCUCCAGGCAGGCCUAUGCUCGAAUACAUUAGCAUGGAAUAAUAAAAUAGGACGUGCGGUUUUAUUUUGUUGGUUUCUAAGACCGCCGUAAUGAUUAAUAGGGACAGUCGGGGGCAUCAGUAUUCAAUUGUCAGAGGUGAAAUUCUUGGAUUUAUUGAAGACUAACUACUGCGAAAGCAUUUGCCAAGGAUGUUUUCAUUAAUCAGGAACGAAAGUUAGGGGAUCGAAAACGAUCAGAUACCGUUGUAGUCUUAACCAUAAACUAUGCCGACUAGGGAUCGGACGAUGUUAUUUUUUGACUCGUUCGGCACCUUACGAGAAAUCAAAGUGCUUGGGCUCCAGGGGGAGUAUGGUCGCAAGGCUGAAA
rnacentral:rRNA from 1 species